AUUGAACGCUGGCGGCAGGCCUAACACAUGCAAGUCGAGCGGAUGAAGGGAGCUUGCUCCUGGAUUCAGCGGCGGACGGGUGAGUAAUGCCUAGGAAUCUGCCUGGUAGUGGGGGAUAACGUCCGGAAACGGGCGCUAAUACCGCAUACGUCCUGAGGGAGAAAGUGGGGGAUCUUCGGACCUCACGCUAUCAGAUGAGCCUAGGUCGGAUUAGCUAGUUGGUGGGAUAAAGGCCUACCAAGGCGACGAUCCGUAACUGGUCUGAGGGGAUGAUCAGUCACACUGGAACUGAGACACGGUCCAGACUCCUACGGGAGGCAGCAGUGGGGAAUAUUGGACAAUGGGCGAAAGCCUGAUCCAGCCAUGCCGCGUGUGUGAAGAAGGUCUUCGGAUUGUAAAGCACUUUAAGUUGGGAGGAAGGGCAGUAAGUUAAUACCUUGCUGUUUUGACGUUACCAACAGAAUAAGCACCGGCUAACUUCGUG
rnacentral:rRNA from 1 species